AUACGUAGGGUGCAAGCGUUAAUCGGAAUUACUGGGCGUAAAGCGUGCGCAGGCGGUUUUGUAAGACAGAGGUGAAAUCCCCGGGCUCAACCUGGGAACUGCCUUUGUGACUGCAAGGCUAGAGUACGGCAGAGGGGGAUGGAAUUCCGCGUGUAGCAGUGAAAUGCGUAGAUAUGCGGAGGAACACCGAUGGCGAAGGCAAAUCCCCGGGGCUGGACCUGCGCUCAAGGACGAAAGCGGGGGGAGCAAACAGGAUUAGAUACCCUGGUAGUCCACGCCCUAAACGAUGUCAACUGGUUGUUGGGUCUUCAUUGACUCAGUAACGAAGCUAACGCGUGAAGUUGACCGCCUGGGGAGUACGGCCGCAAGGUUGAAACUCAAAUAAAUUGACGGGG
rnacentral:rRNA from 1 species